UUACAGCCUACUGCAGAAUGUUUAAAUAGGAAAAGUUUGGAUGGAAACACAAUUGCUGAGAAAUUAGAUAGCUUGAUUGAGCUGACUUUUUUGCAUCUUGAGUCCUGUUGUCUGAGGUUGUCUGAGGUAUUUGAUGUUCUAGUGAGAUCAUUUCAAAGGACUAUUUUGAAUACCUACAAGUCAAAAUUCACCUAGUUUGUGGUGUUCUAUGCAUGUGCACUUGAUCAAUUGAUGAACUUGAAAAUUAAAAGUU